rnacentral:rRNA from 1 species
GGUCUACCACCGGGAUGUUCAUAACCCUUUGUUGUCCGACUCUGUUGCCUCCGGGGCGACCCUGCCUUCGGGCGGGGGCUCCGGGUGGACACUUCAAACUCUUGCGUAACUUUGCAGUCUGAGUAAACUUAAUUAAUAAAUUAAAACUUUUAACAACGGAUCUCUUGGUUCUGGCAUCGAUGAAGAACGCAGCGAAAUGCGAUAAGUAAUGUGAAUUGCAGAAUUCAGUGAAUCAUCGAAUCUUUGAACGCACAUUGCGCCCCCUGGUAUUCCGGGGGGCAUGCCUGUUCGAGCGUCAUUUCACCACUCAAGCCUCGCUUGGUAUUGGGCAACGCGGUCCGCCGCGUGCCUCAAAUCGACCGGCUGGGUCUUCUGUCCCCUAAGCGUUGUGGAAACUUUCGCUAAAGGGUGUUCGGGAGGCUACGCCGUAAAACAACCCCAUUUCUAAGGUUGACCUCGGAUCAGGUAGGGAUACCCGCUGAACUUAA